rnacentral:rRNA from 1 species
UACGUAGGGGGCGAGCGUUGUCCGAAUUUACUGGGCGUAAAGCGCGCGUAGGCGGUUUCUUAAGUCUGGGGUGAAAGGUUCAACGCUCAACGUGAACAGUGCCUUGGAUACUGGGAGACUUGAGUCUGGGAGGGGGUAGUGGAAUUCCUGGUGUAGCGGUGAAAUGCGUAGAUAUCAGGAGGAACACCGGUGGCGAAGGCGGAUCUCUGGACAGUUCCUGACGCUGAGGCGCGAAGGCCAGGGGAGCAAACGGG